AGAACCCUCCAAUGUUGGUGAUUGUCUUUCGUUUUGAUCCAACAUUACCUAUAAGGGAUGCACGAGAGUCGCUGAUGGGCGCGAGAGCCGCUGACAAUCAUGUCGAGGCGGAUACCCGAUAUCAGAACUGGCAACCCACCUGCGCGAGCGGGUUCAAAACAAUGGUAACACGGCUGCGAGGGGUUCUU
rnacentral:other from 2 species